rnacentral:rRNA from 1 species
UACGAAGGAUGCGAGCGUUAUCCGGAUUUAUUGGGUUUAAAGGGAGCGUAGGCGGCCUUAUAAGUCAGUGGUGAAAUCCUAUCGCUUAACGAUAGACGUGCCAUUGAUACUGUAGGGCUUGAGUACAGAUGCCGUUGGCGGAAUGUGUCAUGUAGCGGUGAAAUGCGUAGAUAUGACACAGAACACCGAUUGCGAAGGCAGCUGACGAAACUGUAACUGACGCUGAGGCUCGAAAGCGUGGGGAUCAAACAGG